AGGCGGCGUGGAGGUUGUUUUCGCCGGGUUCGGUGAGACAGAGGGCAAGUGAGGGGGAGGUGGGUUUCGAGAAAGAGAAGGGAGAACCGGGGGUAUCAGUGGCUGUCGUUGUUGCUCCGGCGAGCUUCGGUGGCAGCGGAUUUUCAAUGGUGAAGGGGUGGGUUCUGGCGUGAACCGAGAGAGAGACGAGGGAACACAGAGAGGGACCAGAGGAGAGACGAGAGAGAGACGAGAGAGAUGAGAGAGAAUUGCUUUUUUUGUUUUUUUUUUAUAUAUUAUUUUCCAUGUGGCAAUUUUUGGUCCACGUAAGCGCCAUAUCAGCUCGUAUGGCCUACAAAUUGCCAUGUCAGCCCGGAGCUUCACCGGAGAAAAAAGUUAAGGAAAAAUUGUUCAGACGAUUAAGUUCAGGGAAUUGAAGGUAAAAAUUGAAGUUCAUGGAAAAGUUGGAAAUCGGCCCAAACUUCAUGA
rnacentral:lncRNA from 1 species